UACGAAGGGGGCUAGCGUUGCUCGGAAUCACUGGGGGUAAAGCGCACGUAGGCGGCUUGUUAAGUCAGGGGUGAAAUCCUGGAGCUCAACUCCAGAACUGCCUUUGAUACUGGCGAGCUUGAGUUCGGGAGAGGUGAGUGGAACUGCGAGUGUAGAGGUGAAAUUCGUAGAUAUUCGCAAGAACACCAGUGGCGAAGGCGGCUCACUGGCCCGAUACUGACGCUGAGGUGCGAAAGCGUGGGGAGCAAACAGG
rnacentral:rRNA from 1 species